ACGUAGGGUGCAAGCGUUAAUCGGAAUUACUGGGCGUAAAGCGUGCGCAGGCGGUUUUGUAAGACAGAGGUGAAAGCCCCGGGCUCAACCUGGGAAUGGCAUUGGAUACUGGCGGGCUGGAGUGUGGCAGAGGGGGGUGGAAUUCCGCGUGUAGCAGUGAAAUGCGUAGAGAUGCGGAGGAACACCGAUGGCGAAGGCAGCCCCCUGGGCUGACACUGACGCUCAGGCACGAAAGCGUGGGGAGCAAACAG
rnacentral:rRNA from 1 species